rnacentral:rRNA from 1 species
CGCCCAGCAGCUAGCCCCUAAACCAAAAACAACAUACCAAUAUUAAUAACCCCAUAUGCACUAAUUCCCGCAUAAAACAAACCAUUUUUCCCCCUUAGUAUGGGCGACAGAAAAGGGACUACGGAGCUAUAGAGAAAGUACCGCAAGGGAACGCUGAAAGAGAAAUGAAACAACCCAGUAAAGCCUAAAAAAGCAGAGAUUUAAACUCGUACCUUUUGCAUCAUGACUUAGCCAGUAACAACUAAGCAAAGAGUCCUUUAGUUUAGUACCCCGAAACUAAGUGAGCUACUCCAAGACAGCCUAUUAAUAGGGCAAACCCGUCCCUGUGGCAAAAGGGUGGGAAGAGCUUUGAGUAGAGGUGACAGACCUACCGAACCUAGUUAUAGCUGGUUGCCUGAGAAAUGGAUAGAAGUUCAGCCUCCCGGUUUCUCCUUUCACCCCUGUCCAACUCCACCCGACACCUUAAGAAACCACGAGAGUUAGUCAAAGGGGGUACAGCCCCUUUGAAACAAGAUACAACUUUAUCAGGAGGGUAAAGAUCAUAAUAAUUUAAAGGUAUAAUGUUCUGGUGGGCCUAAAAGCAGCCAUCCAUAUAGAAAGCGUUAAAGCUCAGACAUACCUCCUACCCUUUUAUUCUGAUAAUCACAUCUUAGCCCCCUAGUCUUACCAGGCCGUCCCAUGCAAGCAUGGGAGUGACCCUGCUAAUAUGAGUAAUAAGAGAGCCUACGACUCUCUCCUUGCACACGUGUAAAUCGAAAUGGACCCCCCACCGAAUCUUAACGAUCCCAAAUGAAGAGGGCAUUGAACAGCAAACCAAACAACUAGAAAACCAUUCAAUAAAUUACCGUUAACCCCACACUGGUGUGCCCUUAAGGAAAGACUAAAAGAAAAAGAAGGAACUCGGCAAACACAUAAAGCCUCGCCUGUUUACCAAAAACAUCGCCUCUUGCAAAAUCAAGGAAUAAGAGGUCCCGCCUGCCCUGUGACUAUAUGUUUAACGGCCGCGGUAUUUUGACCGUGCGAAGGUAGCGCAAUCACUUGUCUUUUAAAUGGAGACCUGUAUGAAUGGCAUAACGAGGGCUUGACUGUCUCCUUUUUCAAGUCAAUGAAAUUGAUCUCCCCGUGCAGAAGCGGGGAUAACACCAUAAGACGAGAAGACCCUAUGGAGCUUUAGACACCAAGGCAGAUCAUGUUAAUUAACCCUGUAUAAAGGAAUAAACCAAAUGACCCCUGCCCUAAUGUCUUUGGUUGGGGCGACCGCGGGGAAACAAAAAACCCCCACGUGGAAUGGGAAUACUCCCUCCUACAACUAAGAGCUACCGCUCUAGUGACCAGAAUUUCUGACCUUUAGAUCCGGCAACGCCGAUCAACGGACCGAGUUACCCUAGGGAUAACAGCGCAAUCCCCUUUUAGAGCCCAUAUCGACAAGGGGGUUUACGACCUCGAUGUUGGAUCAGGACAUCCUAAUGGUGCAGCCGCUAUUAAGGGUUCGUUUGUCAACGAUAAA